GGCCAGACUCCUACGGGAGGCAGCAGUGAGGAAUAUUGGUCAAUGGGCGCAAGCCUGAACCAGCCAAGUCGCGUGAGGGAUGACGGUCCUAUGGAUUGUAAACCUCUUUUGUCGGGGAGCAAGGCCCGCCACGUGUGGCGGGAAGGAGAGUACCCGAAGAAAAAGCAUCGGCUAACUCCGUGCCAGCAGCCGCGGGAAUACGGAGGAUGCGGGCGUUAUCCGGAUUUAUUGGGUUUAAAGGGUGCGUAGGCGGAAGGUUAAGUCAGCGGUCAAAUGUCGGUGCUCAACACCGGCCUGCCGUUGAAACUGGCAGUCUCGAGUUGGAGAGAAGUAUGCGGAAUGCGCGGUGUAGCGGUGAAAUGCAUGGAUAUCGCGCAGAACUCCGAUUGCGAAGGCAGCAUGCCGGCUCCACACUGACGCUGAGGCACGAAAGCGUGGGUAUCGAACAGGAUUAGAUACCCUAGUAAU
rnacentral:rRNA from 1 species